GUAUCUAUUUGACAGACCUGGAGCAGUUAUUGUGUGCUGUUAAGGUUUCCGCUAAAGAUGAAAAAAAAGAGUGUCCUUGUGCUUUUUGUCUGGCCUGGUUGUGGCAGCUGAGACCAAAUGGGAGAAGACAGGA
rnacentral:snoRNA from 1 species